AACAUUCAGUCUGGAUGUCGUGUCGCAGGCUGGGCAUGCUUUAUGGUUCCCGUGACGGGGCCGGCUCGGCUAGCGUUGCUCGGCAAACUGACGCAUUUGUUUCCCACCCGAAGGACGCCGCAACCGGUUGGUGGACGGUCUUAAGGGCGAGAGCUGGAAGGUGGCCGGCGGCGCGCCUCGUGUGUGUCGCCGGUUGUUAGCCAUCUCGCAGGACGGCCCGUCCGCCGACCGUGGCAAUAAAGAGGCCCGGCUGGGCUUCGUCGUCUCCUCCCAUGGCUAGCGAGUAAAGAAGCGUCGCAGGAGUUCGGAGCAGUGUAGUCACACGAAUCGAGUUCGUGGCCACACGCUGCCUCGUCUCUGUUGGCUUGAUGCAAGGCUCGCGGGAGUGAUUGACGGUUUGCGGCGAGUAGAUCGGUCACCCACCCGACCCGUCUUGAAACACGGACCAAGGAGUCU
rnacentral:rRNA from 1 species